UGUGCACUAUCGCCUACUCUUUUCCAGCGUAGGUGACUAGAAUUAGGGUUUUGUUGUUGUAAAAUUCCUUGAAGGAAACAGAAUUGUAUGCUUGAUUCAUUUUAUCACGGUAGGAUUGGUCAAGCUAAGCUCCGACAGCAUGGCCAAGCUGCCCCUGUAUCAGCGUCUUGCUGUUCUAGCUGCGUUUCAGACCACUGUCGCCGUGGCUUACUUCUCCAUCAUCGAGAGAUCAAGGUCACGUGAUGGCAGUUUUGAGAGAGAUGGAUACAACUUCUGGGAUAUGUUCGGGGAGCCUAAGCACAAGCGCGAGCACAAGAAGGGUAUUGCUGAACAGCACAAAGGUUGAGACGAGUUGACGUCUUUGACGGGAUGUUACCUAACUUGUUUCUCAAUAACGAUUCCGAGGCAUUCUCGUCUGCAACACUUCAUAGCUUUCGACAUCCUCUUCGUUGUGUAGGAAAUGCAGAAUGUCGAGUACAUGUGCGGAUCUACUUUGCAUUAUUGGCUUCUUCUUCCGUAGACCAAAUGUGUUGAAGGAUUACUCCGAGGCUCUGGACGUGAAGUGUACAAGGCUUCGAACUUCGUCAUGGUGCUGAAACUAGGCCGAGGUACAAUGGAAACUUCAGUAGAGACGCAACGUUCAGAACAGUGGAGACGUACCAGAAUGGGCUGUGCUAUGGCAAUUGUAGCAUGCUUUCAGAAACAAGGUACCUUGUUGGAAGGCUUAUCUGAAAAGUUCUCAAACUAGCCCUCCAGAAGCAAAUUUGAAGAUUCUGUAUCAAUGCUUACGCACAACGUGAAACUACAACAGUUAACGGUACAAGCUGCUUACCAAAUAUAGUUUUUGGGGUCUGUUAUCAGUAUAUGCGUUCUGCAAUUCUAGUAAAAGUGAAUGUCAGUGACACGGCACCAGGCAUUUCUGCUACUCCAGCGAUGCAUAUUUGAUUCAGUAAUGGAAGGCAAAUAUCAUUUGUCAAGAUUUUUGGUUAUGGAUUUAUCCAUUAGCCCGUAAAUUAGCCUCAACAGUUCAGACGAUACAGCAAUAUGACAUCCCCCUACCUCUCAUCUCUCUUUUGUGUAACUGCAGUGUGAUCCCUAGUAACAGUGCAACUCACUGCAACAUUCAGACGUACAUUAGACUGUAGACUCAUCAGUUGGCAAAGCGAAGUAGUUUAGCGUAGGGCAUAAAACGAGAGAAAUGUUCUAAUUAUUUUCAUUCAUGAACUCACUAGUUCAUAGUUUUGUGGCAAGUAAACCAUCAUAGUCACUGAAAUUUUACCUUCUGAAGGGAAGGUGCAAAAUUGUUAGUCAGGCAGCAGCACCCAUUACUGUAUUGCAAAACGAGAUUACGCACCAUGACAUAUAUGUAUACUACGUCGGCUUAUUUGUA